CCUACGGGAGGCAGCAGUGAGGAAUAUUGGUCAAUGGGCGUAAGCCUGAACCAGCCAAGUCGCGUGAGGGAUGAAGGUUCUAUGGAUCGUAAACCUCUUUUAUAAGGGAAUAAAGUGUGGGACGCGUCCCGGUUUGUAUGUACCUUAUGAAUAAGCAUCGGCUAACUCCGUGCCAGCAGCCGCGGUAAUACGGAGGAUCCGAGCGUUAUCCGGAUUUAUUGGGUUUAAAGGGUGCGUAGGCGGCCUUUUUAGUCAGCGGUGAAAGUCUGUGGCUCAACCAUAGAAUUGCCGUUGAAACUGGGAGCCUUGAGUAUGUUUGAGGCAGGCGGAAUGCGUGGUGUAGCGGUGAAAUGCUUAGAUAUCGCGCAGAACCCCGAUUGCGAAGGCAGCAUGCCGAGCCAUGACUGACGCUGAUGCACGAAAGCGUGGGGAUCAAACAGGAUUAGAUACCCCUGUAGUC
rnacentral:rRNA from 1 species